rnacentral:tRNA from 1 species
GCCUGGGUGGCUCAGUGGUUGAGCAUCUGACUUUGACUCAGGUCGUGAUCCUGGGGUCCUGGGAUCCAGUCCUGCAUCAGGCU